AGUUAAACAGUACGUGAAAUUGUUGAAAGGGAAACGAUUGAAGUCAGUCGUACCAACGGGAAAUCAAUUCAUCGAGUGUUGAAUUUGGGUCUUGAAGAGUCUUAAAACCUUUGGGUUCAGAUAUUUUCACUUUUUGAACGUAUUUUCUCGUACGGUAGGUUAACAUCGAUUUUGAACAUUAUAAAAUGAUCGGAGGAAUGUAGCUUCGAUCUUGUAUUGAAGUGUUAUAGCCUUUGGUAGAUGUAAUGAUCGGGAUCGAGGAUUGCAACGAAUACCCUUUUGGGCUAUCCGUCUGAUCUCUGAUACGUUGCCUCGGUAACGAAAGCGUGCUUACGGUAUUGAGGUAUUACGGUCAAAAGGUUAGAACGAGAUUACAUUCGUUAAGGAUGUUGACGUAAUGGCUUUAAA
rnacentral:misc_RNA from 1 species